UACGUAGGUGACAAGCGUUGUCCGGAUUUACUGGGCGUAAAGAGCGCGCAGGCGGUCGUUCAAGUCGAGUGUGAAAGCCCCCGGCUCAACUGGGGAGGGUCAUUCGAUACUGAUCGACUCGAAGGCAGGAGAGGGUAGUGGAAUUCCCGGUGUAGUGGUGAAAUGCGUAGAUAUCGGGAGGAACACCAGUGGCGAAGGCGGCUUUCUGGUCUGUAACUGACGCUGAGGCGCGAAAGCGUGGGGAGCAAACAGG
rnacentral:rRNA from 1 species